ACGGGAGGCAGCAGUGGGGAAUAUUGCACAAUGGGGGAAACCCUGAUGCAGCGACGCCGCGUGAGUGAAGAAGUAUUUCGGUAUGUAAAGCUCUAUCAGCAGGGAAGAAAAUGACGGUACCUGACUAAGAAGCCCCGGCUAACUACGCGCCAGCAGCCGCGGUAAUACGUAGGGGGCAAGCGUUAUCCGGAUUUACUGGGUGUAAAGGGAGCGUAGACGGUCAUGCAAGUCUGAUGUGAAAGGUGGGGGCUCAACCCCCAAACUGCAUUGGAAACUGUAAGACUCGAGUGCCGGAGAGGUAAGCGGAAUUCCUAGUGUAGCGGUGAAAUGCGUAGAUAUUAGGAGGAACACCAGUGGCGAAGGCGGCUUGCUGGACGACAACUGACGCUGAGGCGCGAAAGCGUGGGGAGCAAACAGGAUUAGAUACCCUGGUA
rnacentral:rRNA from 1 species